AUAUAUAUACACUACUAACUGUCAAAGCAACUAACGACAGCAACAAAACCAACCUAUUCUGCGGAAAAUCAUUGAAAUGAACGACACUAAGGGAUUUCCUAUCCCGGAACACACUCGAUCCCGCCCAGUGAGUCGCAUAACAAACCGAACCAAUCAGGUGAUUCGAAGCAGUUGAGUGCUUCAAACGUCACUGAAGUGAUUCAAACGUCACGAGUCACGUGACCAAAACACGCCUCGGCACAGUGGCUCAAUACGUUUGCUUCAUGAGCUACAGCGCAUGUGUCGAAACCUCGGGUAUCAGAGGACCAUCACUAAUCACAGGAUUCCUACCGGACGCCAGCUCCUAGUACGGCUGAAGUCAAAUGGUCACCGUGGCGCUUCGGCUGAUUCUACCAGCAGACACUGGAAAGGGCUCUGAUAGUUCAGUCCCUCUCUAUCUCCCCACACAUCCACCAACCACUGGAACACAUCUCCAAAGUUCUGCCGGGCCAGUUCAGCUUCCCCUCAGAAGAAGUGCUGCCACCUGCCAGAUGAAGGAGCCUUUUGAGAGGCAGCUGGAAUCGUGAUUGGACUGUACUUUGGUCUGUUCCAAUCCAGCUUCAGCUCCAGAGACGGCAGGCGGGACGAGUCAACGGAGGCCGGGUGGACGAAGGCAUGCAGCUGAGUACAAUCCAGAAAACAACAGAGGAGGAGUGCAGGGCCAGAACAAACAGAGUAGCAUCGUAUGUCUCUUAGAAAACAUCAUAGUAUAGCCUUUGGGAUGAAAAAACGCCAUCAUAUACAUUGUAUAUUGUACAAAUAACAAGUCAAAGGAAAGAGACAUACAUUGUAGAAUUGUAGUAAUUGUGGGCUGACUGAUUUACUGAUUAUCAAUAUUUUAUUUUUUACUGAUUUACGGUAAUAAAUCAAUUUAAAAAUGGUGCUACUUUGGCUCUGAACCUUAAUCUACCUGUGGUCGCUCUGUCUUCUGGAGUGAUUUGAUUGGUUAUACGUCACGAAUAAAACUCCUUUAACUUAACAUCUGUAAACAAAACAAAAACGUAUCAACAAAGUUUUCUGUUAGAGUUUGUGUUCUUCGAAGUUUAACUCCAAAAUUUUAAAUACUUUCAUUUACUGCAAAUGAAUAUCUACUCCAGAUGUCUCACUAAUAAUCAUUAUCAGCCUUAAAAACCCACAAAACACCCCUCUAUACUCGACCACACUUAGUACAGUCUGGUUCCCCCUUCUAUAAAUCUGCUUGGAAUCUUCCACUUCCUGUUUGUCAAAGUGGCCUUCUACCUGGACAGGUUUUGUUGGAGCUCAUGCAACAAACAUUUUGGGUAACUGCACUUUAAUAUGGAUGGAUGACACUGAAUUAGAGUCUGUUUUAAUGAGACUGAGUUAAGAUGUGUAGCUCUGUCAUUAAAUAGGAAAUUAUUUCUCAGAAUUCACAGAGAAAAGUCUGAAAUGUUUGCUGGGUUAGCGUCCCACAUGUUCUUUGGCUCAGCUAAAGCUAACUCUCUCCAACUUCUGGAUCUCUUGAGUUGAUUGUUGUUAAAAUAUCUUGCUAGAGGUGCUGAAGCUCAGAAAGUCUGAGAUGUUUGUUCAAAAUAAGCUCAUUCUCAAGUCUUAUCUGAACUGUCCUCUUUUGUUUUAACUUUCCCUAAACUUAGGAAUUAAUAACAGAGCAGCACAUCCAGACUCAGUCUCAUUUAUGUAGAGAUUAAACUUCUGUGUCAUUCAUUGAUGUUAAAGUGCAGCUUUUCAAAUGUUUGUUGCACAUGCUCCCGACCAAACCAGUCCAGGUGGAAGACGAUGUGAAGAGAAAGCUCCAGAGGAUGAAUAUCACACAUUUACGUUGGAAAUAAAUGUCCUUUAAUUAGACGUUGUCAUGCAACAGUUGGAUUUCCCUUUAAUGAUGUUCAAAUCUUUGAGUGUUUUGUUGAUGUUGGUUUCUAAAUGUUUUUUGACACUCGGCCCCAAAGAUUAAAACCUUCUACAGCUCACAAGCUGCAACAAUUCACACAUUAUCAACUAUCUUUCUGACUAAACUAAGAUAAAAAGUGAAAAACUGUCUGAUUCCUGCAUCAUGAAUGUAAAUCUUUUUGGUUUUUAUGACAGUAAACUGAAUAUAUUUGGGUUUGACAUUUUAUAAACCAAAACAAGAAAUGAAUUACUGGAGAAAACAAUCAACAGAUUAAUGGUCAAAGAAAAUGUGUUUUCCAACAUAUAUGGCUGAAUUACUCAAACAUUACAAGAUACAUACAAUUUUAAUUCAAUUUUAUUUAUAUAAUGCCAAUUACAGGUCAAAUUGUCUCAAGAUGCUUUAUUUUUAUAUUCUUUUGUCAUCUUUAAAAUAUGACAAAAUAAGAAAUUUAAACCUCUUGACUAAUCCAAUUUAUUAUUUAGUUUUUAAGAGACUAAUUGACAAUUCAAACUUUCUCCACUAAAACUAAUAAACAUAAGGUCAAAUAGAAGGAACAGUUUUAAAUACUGCAGCCCCACGACGACAAGAAUAAAGUUUCUCAACAAAAAGUAAAUCUGCUGGUGGAUUCCAUGAAAGUCCUAAUAAAUGAUAAUAAAGUGUGAUACUAAAGGUUUGUGGUGCUAAAAAUCUCCAAGUAAAGAUAGCAAGUUGAACAUCUGGAUGGAGGUUGAUAAACGUUGACCUCCCUUCAUUUCUCUGGAGUCAACUCCAUGGAUUUUAUGGAUGGUGGUUAAAGACCUGCUCUUCUAGUCGUCUUCCUUCUAGUCACUGUAAAAAGUCACACCAUCCUCGUCGCUGACUUCAACACCUCUUCAUGACAACUUGUUCUGCCUCCGACCUCGUGGAAACUCCAGAAACUCGGGAAAACCUGUCGAGACUCGAAGAACUCGUGGAGACUCGAGGAACUCGUCGGGUGGGGGAAGGUGUGGUGGGUGGUGGGGGAGUAGAGGGGGGAGGCCGCCACCCACCUCCCCGCCUACUCUCCGCCCUGACUCCACCCAGACUCCGCCUUGGCUCCACCCAUGUGGUCACUUGGAAACUACGAUGACAAAGGGACGACGAAAUCAUUUUAUUUUCAUCUGAUCUGUAGCUCAGUGAGUUAAGGAUUUGCCUAUGGAGCUGCAGGUCGCUGGUUCAAGACCAGACACUUCUUAAAUUUUCUCAAAAUUCUGACAAAGACAAAGAAAGAAAACUGCCAGUGGCGGGUCUUGAACCGGCUACCUUCCAGUUGGUAGUCUGUCUCUUAUCCUCCUGAGCUAUUCGCUCAGAUACUAAUUCUUCUUUUUUUUGCGCAUUUAUCAUCUAUUUUUUGUCGUAUUCGAGUUUUUUUUUAACUCGAGUCUCGACUCGACCGUUUUUCUCAGGAGGUUGGACUUCAGCCUUUGUGCUGGAGGGUUGAACCCUCAGUUCCAAGACUUUCCAAGCCUCCAGACCUCCUGAGUCCUCAGGACCUGAGCUUUCACACAGUCUGAGGGCUGAAAUUUUCUAAGUUCCACAGUAGUUCUCUGUUAGAUUGAACUUUCAGACAGUCCAAGGACUGAUAUCUUCUAAGUUCCUGAGUAGUUCUCUGUUGGUUUGAACCUUUCCACAGUCUGAGGACUGAAAUCUUAAAAGUUCUUGAGUAGUUCUCUGUUAGUUUGAACCUUCAGACAGUCUGAGGACUGAAAUUUUAAAAGUUUCUCAGUACUUCUGUGUUAGUUUGAACUUUCUGGUUAACAGAAGCCUUAAAACUUGUGACCAUGAGUCUUGAUUUCACAUUUAGACCAUCCGAGUUCUUCUCAGACCUUCACCUGUGGGUUUUUUAGAAAUCCUCAACAAACUUUGAUUCUCUUCACUGAACAGUAAAGUUUGUGGAGAUCAGAAGGUAACAUUAGUUUGAUCAAUGCCUUCAACUACUAGUAGACUUUAUCUGGAAAGCAGUUUUCUGAAAUGAGCACUUAAUAAAUCUGUCUACAAUCAAACCAAGAACAUAGAAAGAGGAAAUGUUUGAAGAAACAACUUGAUGUUUUCAUUUCGGACUAGAAAACUCUUUAAUACCUUUAUCUGUUUUUGCUCUUUUUGAUCGUUUUAUUGUCUCUUCUGUUUAAUUUGAUCUUCUAAAGUCUAACUGGUGUCUUCAAAUGUUUUGUCUUUAGUUUGAUUCUUCUUAAACGUUUAGUUUUGCUCUUUUCUCACCUUUUAUUCUUUUCUAAUGUCUGAUUUGAUUUCAAAAUGUUUUGUCUUUUUAAUGUUUAAUUGUUUUUUCAAAUGUUUUAUCGGCUUGUUUGAGUUUCUUUUUCUUUCCCAAUAUUUAAUUUUUCGAUUAAAUCUUUAAGGAUUUUCUUUUUAAAUGUUUUACCACCUUUUAAUGUUUAAUUUUCUUUUUAAAUGCUUCAUUGUAUUUUCUGUUUAAUUCCUAUUUGAUGUUUUAUUGUCUUUAAGAUGUAUUUUUCUAAUUAAACAUUUAAUUUUUUAAUUAAAUGUUUUGUCUUUUUAAAGGUUAAUGAUCUAAUUAAAUGUUUUGUAUUUUUUUUGUGUUUAAUA